GACGUAGGGCGCGAGCGUUGUCCGGAUUUAUUGGGCGUAAAGAGCUCGUAGGCGGCUUGUUGCGUCGACCGUGAAAACUUGGGGCUUAACCUUAAGCUUGCGGUUGAUACGGGCAGGCUAGAGUUCGGUAGGGGAGACUGGAAUUCCUGGUGUAGCGGUGAAAUGCGCAGAUAUCAGGAGGAACACCGGUGGCGAAGGCGGGUCUCUGGGCCGAUACUGACGCUGAGGAGCGAAAGCGUGGGGAGCGAACAGG
rnacentral:rRNA from 1 species